CGCCUAAAUAAUUUAAAAAAAAUAUUGAUCUUGUAAAUCAAAAUUAAGUCAUAAACUUUUUAGG
rnacentral:tRNA from 1 species